UUGUUGCAGUUAAAAAGCUCGUAGUUGGACCUUGGGCAGGAGGCACGGGUUGGCCGAAUGGCUCGACUCGGGUCUCCGGCCUCUAUGGGUGGUCGUGCCUUUGGUACGGUUCGCCCGGGUUACUGUGAAGAAAUUAGAGUGUUUAAAGCAGGCGAUUGCUUGGAUACAUCAGCAUGGAAUAGCAAGAUAGGACCUGGUUCCACUUGUUGGUUUGGGGGCUUUGGUAAUGAUUAAUAGGGCCAGUUGGGGGCAUUAGUAUUCAGUAGUCAGAGGUGAAAUUCUUGGAUUUACUGAAGACUAACUAGUGCGAAAGCAUUUGCCAAGGAUGUUUUCAUUAAUCAAGAACGAAAGUUAGGGGAUCGAAGACGAUCAGAUACCGUCGUAGUCUUAACUAUAAACGAUGCCGACUCGGGAUCGGCAGACGUCGUUAGCGACACUGUCGGCACCGUGUGAGAAAUCAAAGUUUUUGGGUUCUGGGGGGAGUAUGGUCGCAAGGCUGAAACUUAAAGGAAUUGACGGAAGGGCACCACCAGGAGUGGAGCCUGCGGCUUAAUUUGACUCAACACGGGAAAACUCACCAGGUCCGGACAUAGUAAGGAUUGACAGAUUGAGAGCUCUUUCUUGAUUCUG
rnacentral:rRNA from 1 species